rnacentral:lncRNA from 1 species
GCAGCGACGGCGGCGGGAGGCACCGCGGGCCCGCCCGCCUGGGGAACCCCGAGUCCCCGCGCGGGGCCCCGCCCCGGCCUCGCCCCGGGCCUGCCGCCGCCGCCGCGCCGCGCUCCCAUUGGUGCGGGGGCGGUGACGUGCGCGAGCGGGCGCCGGGGCCGGGCCGGGGGCGGGCGCGCGGCUGAUGAAACCCGGCGCCGGAGCCCGCGCGCCCUCCACGCUCCAUUCAGUCGGCGCGGGCAGGUAUUUCCAUCCUCAAGGGACAGGGCUGAACUAGAUCUGUUCUCAGGGGCCCUUCUCAGGUACAUGACUGCUUUGUAGCCACCUGCCCCAGGGUGGUGGCUUCCUUCCUUUUCACCUAGCCUUCUUGCUUCCUCACACCUAACAUGGGGAUCUCUUGGUGCUUGCAGCCUAGCCUCCCUGUGCUCCCCUGCCACUCUCCAAUGGGUAACUUGGCUGUGGGUUUGUCCUAGUGCCAGAAGGAGGACCCUCUGCCACCUGGAGUGUGCCUUCUUUUUCAUCCUUGGGCCUUCAGGGCACCUGCCUUCCAGGUGUUUCUUGUGCCUUAGGUCACUGGCAUUGGAUCCCACGCCAAGGUUCUAUCUACCACAAGGAUUUUAGUUCUCUUCCAUCCACAGAAUAGAGGAGUACCAUCUCUCAUGGCAGAUUUACAGUCUUGUAGUAAACUUGAGAUGAACAAUCUUGUAGUAAACUUGAGAGGCUUCUUUUUCCUCUUUUUCCAUAAUUCACUCCCACCAACUCCAAAGCAGCAAAGCAGCUUUGAAAAGAACUCCCCUGCAAUUGUUUAAACUGCACCUGAGUUUUCCAUAGGAGGUUUAGUGCAUUUACUGCCUGUGAGUUAGAAGAAUGGGCAACAAAAUGGCAAAACAAUCUGGUGGACUGCUAAGUAUGUUCAUUCCACUCUAAAGUCAUGCCUUCAGAUACGUGGCAUUGGCAGUACUCUGGGUGAAGCUGGGUUUACCUUACCCACUGGUCAGGAUUUGUCCCUUCUAGGGGAGCACAGGUUGUAGGAAAGACAUUUCUGAACAUUGGGAUAGAUUCUGGUAUAGCAUUGACCCAUCCUGCCAUGCCCAAUGUCUUUCAUUUGGCUUUUUCCCUCUCUUGAUUGUUGGUAAAGUUUCGGACUGCCAGAUGGUACGUUUGGUGAACAAACGGCAUAAACGAGUUAGAGCUGUGUGUGGUUAAAGGCAUUUACAACGUCAGUACAGCCUGAACUGAUGUGCCCGGAGAUGAAGGAGGUGGCUCAG